UUUCUAUUUUCUCGUUCCCUCGUUUUUUCUAAUCCUCCUUUUUCUAUUUCCUCAUUUGCUUGUUCUUUCUAUUCCUCCUUUUUAUGUUUUCUGGUUCCCUUGUUCUGUCUAUUCCUCCUUUUUCUAUUUCCUCGUACCCUUUUUCUUUCUAUUCCGCCUUUUCCUUUUUUUUUCGUUCCCUCGUUCUUUUUAUUCUUUCAUUUUUUAUUUUCCCGUUCCAUCGUUCUUUCUAUUCCUCCUUUCUCUAUUUUAUCAUUCCCUCGUUCUUUCCAUUUUUCUAUUUUAUAUUUUAUCGUUCCCUCGUUCUUUCUAUUCUUUUAUUUUCUAUUUCCUCGUUCCCUCAUUCUUUCUAUUUCUCCUUUUUUUGUUUUCUCUUCACUUGCUCUUUCUAUUUCUCUUUUUUAUGUAUUCUAAUUCCCUUGUUCGUUCUAUUCUUUCAUUUUCUAUUUUCUCGUUCCUUCGUUCUUUCUGUUCUUUCCUUUUUUGUUUUCUCUUUCCCUCGUUCUUUCUUUUCCUCCUUUUUCUAUUUUCUCGUUUCCUCGUUCGUACUAUUAUUUCAUUUUCCAUUUUCUUGUUUCCUCAUUCUUUCUAUUCCUGUUUUUUCUAUUUCAUCGUUCCCUUGUUCCUUCUAUACGUCCUUUUUAUGUUUCCUCGUUCCAUCAUUCUUUCUAUUCCCUUUUUUGUUUCUUUCUUGUCUGCUCGUUCUUUCUAUUCUUUCAUUUUCCAUUUUCACGUUCCCUCGUUCAUUCUAUUCCUCCUUUUUAUGUUUUUCCAUUCCCUCGUUUUUUCUAUUCCUCCUUUUUAUGAUUUUUCCCUUAUUCUUUCCAUUCCUCUUUUUUAUAUUUUCUCAUUCCCUCGUUCUUUCUAUUGUUUUAUUUUCCAUUUUCUCGUUCCCUCAUUCUUUCUAUUCCUCUUUUUUAUGUUUACUCUAGCUCUGUUGCGACAUACCUAUUCCUUAUGCAGCUUUCUAACGUACAUAAAGUAAGUGCUGAGCAG
rnacentral:lncRNA from 12 species